UCAUUCCACAAUGCAAACAGCAGCCAGAGCUUCUCAGAGAGGAGACUAGCAGUUACCUUUUAAGUCUUCCAGCUCAUUUUCACAAUGAUUUGUGAUUGUUCAAGUCCCUCCACUUGUGAGAAGGGGAACAGAGAGACUGGAACCCAGAGGAUCUGAUCCCAAAGCUAUCCUUUAUCUCACUCUCUUGGAUGGUCUCUGCCUUCAGGUUGUUCAGGGGCACCAAUAAGGGUGGAAGGGGCAAUCUACAGUGCCACAGUCUGUUGAUACUGUGCUGUAGCAAUAUAUCCUACAUAUUAAGUUUCUGGAAUACUUCAAGAUCCAAACCAACCAGAACACAAAGUCGUUGUCUUACUCCAUUUGUGCCACUACAACAGAACAACUUACACUGGACCAUUUCUAAAGAGGAGAGAUUGAGGGGUCAGUUCUGGAGACUGGGGAGUCCACAGUGGGGGCAAUGGCAUCUUGGAUCUCUUGGGGGACCUGGGCUGCUUCCUUCCAGGAAAGAAGACAGAAAGGCAUUCAAAGGGAACAGACCUUGCAGCCUGCCAUGACAGAAGAGCUGAAGGGAGCGAACCCACUCCCACAAGCCCUUUCGAUAUCAGCAUCAGAAAGAAGCAUCCCCACUUCAGCACUGUCCCCCCUGACUGUCACACUCAGAUUUCCUUCCAACAAAUAAAAUGGGUGAGGAGACACUUUUGGUAUGAUUAAAAAAAAAAAAAAAAAGAUACUUUACGAUUUCAUCUUACAGAACAGAGGAAAUGAAUGAGCUAGCUAUCAAGGCUGUCAGAAGACAGUGGCCAUAAGACGUGUAACAUUAAUGUCAAGGGUCCCUCAUCAAUUACACCUCAAAACUUAGGGACACAUGAAAGGGACUGAAGAAGAAAGCUGAGGGCAUCCGUGGCUACCUAAACAAACCCAUUGGCUGGUAUUGUUCUGCUACUGCAGGGGAGCUCCACCCUUGGAACUGUAGAAUCUGCAUUAAUUCUGGCUUCUAGAUUUACUUUGCAGCUUUGGAGGACUGAAUUUGCAAGGUCCCACAAGACAUGAGGAGCACACAUCUAAAUGGAGAGUCUCAUUCAGUACAUUUUUUAAGCCAAAUGUCCAAUGACUAUUUUUCACUCAUCACAUAAAAAAUAUGCUUACUCCUACCCACACAUAUCACACGUGUAAUCUAUAGACAUACUUAUGCUGUCUGCACAACAAAGCAAAAUGACUUCUACUUUAAGGAAGGAGAUUAUAUUAAUUGCC
rnacentral:lncRNA from 1 species